CGGGGGAGCCCUGCACACCAUGCCACGUCCUGCCUGUCUGUCCCCGCGGGUCGUCGCCCACCACAGCCGCGCCAUGGCCACCCAGCAGAUCGUCCUCCAGGGCCCGAGGCCGAGGGGCUUCUGCUUCGUGGGCGACAAGGACUUUGAGCAGCCUCUCGCCAUUUCCCGGGUCACUCCUCGAAGCAAGGUGGCUCUAGCUAAUUUAUGUCUCAGAGAUAUAAUCACAACCAUUGAUGGGGAAAAUUCUCGCAAUAUGACGCACUUGGAAGCUCAGAACAGAAUCAAAGGCUGCACAGACAACAUGACUUUCCCUGUAGCCAGAUCCAAACAUAAAGUCUGGUCUCCUCUGGUGACGGAGGAAGGGAAGUGUCAUCCAUACAAGAUGAAUUUAGCCUCUGAACCCCGGGAGGUACUGCACAUAGGAAGCGCCCACAACCGAAGUUCCAUGUCCUUUACCACCUCGCCUGCCCGCAGCACUGCCGCCAGGGUCAUCACAAACCAGUACAGCAACCCAGCUGGCCUCUGCUCUUCUGAAAAUAUCUCCAACUUCAACAACGCCCUGGAGUCAAAGACUGCUGCCAGCGGGGUGAAGGCGAACGGCAGACCCUUAGACCAUGCUCAGCCUCCAAGCAGCCGUGUGUCAUCGACAUAGAAUCUAAAGUUUACAAGAUGCAUCGGGAGAAACAGGAGUUGAAUGAGCCCCCAAAACAGUCCAUGUUUUUCCCGGUUUUGCAGGAAAUCCUGGAGUCUGAAGAAAAAGGGAUCCCAACAAGCCCUCAGGAUUCAGAAGUGUUGACGCUCCUGUCACUAAAGUGGCUGCGUUGAUUGGAAAUGCUCAGAAGUUGCCUAUGUGUGACAAAUGUGGCCCUGGAAUUGUCGGUGUGAAGCUGCGGGACCAUCACCGCCACCCUGAGUGUUACGUGUGCACUGACUGUGGCACCAGCCUGAAACAGAAGGGCCAUUUCUUUGUGGAGGAUCAAAUCCACGGUGAGAAGCGUGCCUGGGAGCGAGUCACACCACCCGAGGGCUACGAAGUGGUCACCCUGUUCCCCAAGUGACCCAGCGGAUCCAACCGCUGUUCUCCAGCUGGCCACUGCUGCAGCUUUU